rnacentral:lncRNA from 1 species
GGCAGCUGUUAGAAAACCAUCAAUCUGUUCAAGGACUACACUGCAUAACUAAGUUAAUGUCCUAUCCAGAGUCACUUCUACUCUUAGGAAAGAAGAUCAGAUAGUAUGUAUGUAUACACAUCCAGGUGCUCAAAUUUCAGGGUUGUCCUAAUUCAAAGAAUUUUUUCCUUCUCUCAACAUGUUCAACUGAGUUCUUCACUGAUAAGUGACAAAGGCUUAAGGAGUAGUUACCACUUGAGUAGUUAGUGUGCUAAAAUUUAGGUCUAACUUUUGAGCACCCAACUGUGUUAGUUGGCUGAGGCUGAAGCAGUAAUUUGUGCUCUUACAGUUCUAGAGCAUGAACGUACAAAUCAAGGUGCUUGUAUGAAGAAGAUGCCCUGCGAGCAAACACUGAGGCUGAUGCCUCAGGAUGAAGCAGGUUAGUGAGGUUUCAUCAAAGUGUGGACAAGAGAUGAAGGAGAUCAAGAAGAAACUAAUGUGCCCAGCCCAGUGGGAGCCAAGAGACCUUGCAGUCUUCAUAGACAGAAGCACUGAUACCCUUUCACUAGAAAAGGACUUUGAACUACACGCUCUGUUUAGCACAGAUGGGCAGUGAGCCAGGAAGAAACCAUGACAUCUCACUGCUAUUGAAGACUUUAAACUCUUGCCAGCCUUAAACAAAAGCAAACGUUCUACAACGGAUCUGCUACUGUCAAUCAAUAAAGACUGAUUGGCUGAUUCAUAAUGGCCCUCCAAAAAUGUUCCUGUGUCGAUCCACAGAAUGUGUACCUUUUGCUACAUGGUGAGAGGGCCUUUAGAAAUGUGAUUAAAGAUCUCAAGAGAGGCUAAUCCAGGUGAGCUCAAAGGAAUCAGAAGGAUCCUUAUAGGAAAGCAGAGGAGGAUCUGACAGCGAAGAGAUGCAGAGGCAGAAGCAGAGGCUGGAGUGACAAGUACUGAAGAGGGAGUCGAUGGGGACUGUGUGCUAGGCAGCAGAAAUGGCUUAUAGAAGUUGGUCAAGUCAUGGACAUAGCUUAGUGCCUGGAGACUUCAGAAGGAGCCUGAUCCUGUGACCCACUUGGGAUUUCUGACCUCCAUACUCUGAGAGAGUAAAUGUCUCUCUCACUCAUAAUAAUUGGCAGCAGAAGUAGGAACAACUGAAGGCGCCGGCUAACAAUUUCAUCUGCAUGGUCUCUGGGUAGCUCUGUGUAUUGACAUUCCAGCCAGAAAUUGAGUGCCAAGUAUGAUGAGGGAGCUGAAGCACUGGAUUCUGGGAAAUUUGCUGGAGCUUAACACAAGUCACUAGUCACCUGGGAUUCUCUGAAAGAAGGCUGGUGGUGGAGACUCUUCUUUGCUCCUGGCCCACUGUGUCACUUGAUAUUCUUUCCUUGGCAUCCUGUGGGAUCCAAGACUGGCAGGCAGUGAUGGAUGCUGCUCUCUCUACACGUUCAAUAGAGAACUGUUUGAGUAAAUCACGUGCUCCAUUCCCAUGCCACUCAACAGCAGCUCAAUGUCUUGAAAACAUUUUAUGAUACUUUGAAAUAUCCACGAGGUGAUCCAACUUCCCCUUGCAGUCAGAAGGCUCUUCUUGCCCUUUAUGUUUG